GAGUUUGAUCAUGGCUCAGAUUGAACGCUGGCGGCAUGCCUUACACAUGCAAGUCGAACGGCAGCACGGGAGCUUGCUCCUGGUGGCGAGUGGCGAACGGGUGAGUAAUGCAUCGGAACGUAUCCUGGAGUGGGGAAUAACGUAGCGAAAGUUACGCUAAUACCGCAUAUUCUGUGAGCAGGAAAGCGGGGGACCUUCGGGCCUCGCGCUCUUGGAGCGGCCGAUGUCGGAUUAGCUAGUUGGUGAGGUAAAGGCUCACCAAGGCGACGAUCCGUAGCAGGUCUGAGAGGAUGAUCUGCCACACUGGAACUGAGACACGGUCCAGACUCCUACGGGAGGCAGCAGUGGGGAAUUUUGGACAAUGGGGGCAACCCUGAUCCAGCCAUGCCGCGUGAGUGAAGAAGGCCUCGGUUGUAAG
rnacentral:rRNA from 1 species